rnacentral:rRNA from 1 species
GGCCCUCAAUUAUCCCCGUGGACGAAUGAACUUGCUGGAUGCCCUUAGCUUCGGCCAGUGGCCAGGAAAUGGCCCAGCGCCGAAGCCUGUGCACGUUUGGCCCCUAGGCAAUGUGGUGUUCUCGUUAGCUGACUAAGAUGAUGCUCCACCCUAAGUCCUAUAGUGAGUAAGGUUACUCGGACAUGGCCCAAUGAGGGUGAAAGGCCCGUGGGGGUGGAGAUUCAGAAUGGCCAGUAUCUUCCUGACCGAACCUUGGAAUCAGGUAGUUUGGGAAUGCAGCCCAAAGCGGGUGGUAAACUCCAUCCAAGGCUAAAUCCUAUCCCGAGUCCGAUAACGAACAAAUACCGUGAUGGAAAUUUCAACCCCCCUUUGAAUAUAGAGUAAACAGUGCGUGAAACCGUUCACAGGUAAACAGGUGGAGUUGAACUGCAAGCUCUGAGGAUUCAGAUGGUGAGUAUGGCAUGAGCUUGGUCAUAUUGGAUGUGUGCUCGGUUCUGCUUUGCUGCAUUUCUCCGCUUCGGUGGGGAUGCGCGAAUCACUCAUCAGGUGUUGUGUUCCCGGGUACUGACGGAGCUGCUUGUCAGUGCACUUUCUCAGAAAAA